GGAUCUCGUUAGAUCACCGAAGUUAAGCAUCAUUGGGCGCGGUCAGUACUUGGGUAGGUGACCACCUGGGAACACUGCGUGCCGUU